rnacentral:lncRNA from 1 species
GGGGAGGCCAAAGUAGGAGCUGUUCCAUGUCCACAUCUCUAGUAAAAGUUUGCUAGGAAGAAUGUAACAUUUGUAGAAUAAGAUUUGUAUAUGGCCUAACCACUGCCUUAUAAAUUGAGACCCGGUACUACUACCUUUUUGGGGGACUCAGAAACAGAAUUUGAUGCUGUAGUACCUGCCAGGGAUGGAGCAGGAGUGCAUCAAGACCGGAGCCCUGCACAAUUCCCUUCAGCUGAAGUGCUGAUGGGAGCACCUGAGAAGGGCAUAGGGCUGAUGCCAGGCAAAGCUUCUCUCCAC